GAUGAACGCUGGCGGCGUGCCCAACACAUGCAAGUCGAGCGAGAAACUCAUGAUCGAAACUUCGGUUGAUUGAUUGAGCGGAAAGCGGCGGACGGGUGAGUAACGCGUAGGCAACCUGCCCCUUGCAGAGGGAUAGCCUCGGGAAACCGGGAUUAAAACCUCAUAAUGCGUGACCGAGACAUCUCGGACACGCCAAAGAUUUAUCGGCAAGGGAUGGGCCUGCGUCUGAUUAGUUAGUUGGUGGGGUAACGGCCUACCAAGGCAGCGAUCAGUAGCCGACCUGAGAGGGUGAUCGGCCACAUUGGAACUGAGACACGGUCCAAACUCCUACGGGAGGCAGCAGUGGGGAAUAUUGCACAAUGGGCGAAAGCCUGAUGCAGCAACGCCGCGUGAAGGAUGAAGGCCCUUGGGUCGUAAACUUCUGUUCUAAGGGAAGAUAAUGACGGUACCCUAGGAGCAAGUCCCGGCUAACUACGUGCCAGCCGCCGCCGUAAAAC
rnacentral:rRNA from 1 species